GAAUCUUCCACAAUGGACGAAAGUCUGAUGGAGCAAUGCCGCGUGAGUGAAGAAGGUUUUCGGAUCGUAAAGCUCUGUUGUAAGGGAAGAACAAGUACAGGAGUAACUGCCUGUACCUUGACGGUACCUUAUUAGAAAGCCACGGCUAACUACGUUCCAGCCGCCGCGGUAAUACGUAGGUGGCAAGCGUUGUCCGGAAUUAUUGGGCGUAAAGCGCGCGCAGGCGGCCUUUUAAGUCUGAUGUGAAAGCCCACGGCUCAACCGUGGAAGGUCAUUGGAAACUGAGAGGCUUGAGUACAGAAGAGGAAAGCGGAAUUCCACGUGUAGCGGUGAAAUGCGUAGAGAUGUGGAGGAACACCAGUGGCGAAGGCGGCUUUCUGGUCUGUAACUGACGCUGAGGCGCGAAAGCGUGGGGAGCAAAC
rnacentral:rRNA from 1 species